CAAAUACGUUUUACUGUGCUUAUAGUUACUCAACGCGCAGGGCUCAAGUUUUGAAGAGGGGGGGGGGAGGGGGAGGACUGAACGCUACGGCUGACCGGGCGUGGACACUACGUGCAGCGGUUACGGUUACAGACACCGUCGGGAAGGUUGGAGGGGAGCCAGCGCGGACUUUUUUUUCAGCGUGAGAAAUACGAUGUGUGGCGUAACACUUGAGAGCCCUGACGCCACCAGUUACAGCGCGUGCAAAGCUCUUCACAAUCGAAUGCAUUUAUUCCAUGCUAAAUGCAUUAAAUUGACAUUGACAAGAGCGCAAGUGCAUAGAAACUGCAGUUGGACUAACGUUAGGCAGAAUUACACGUUAAAGCUCUGCAGCUCUGUUUCGUGCUGAGGAAAUGUUGGCUAAAGUGGAGAUUGGAGGGGUCCUAAAAUACGUGAAAAUUCCAGAGACUGAUGGAUUUUUUCAAUUUGAUAUGUUCCUUCAAGAAGGUUUGUAGUUUAUGGCUAUAUAUUUUGCAUUCAUUACUGUUCUCACUGUAGUUGAACAUUCAAUUUAAAAAUUAUCUGAAUAAAGAGGUCAAAAGUACUAGUGUUAUUAGCAUAUUAAUGACCAAAAUGGCUUUGUCCAAACAUGAAAAAAAUCUCCAUGCCUAAUUCAUAUUGUUAUUGCUUUAUACUAAUACUUUUUAUUCUUCUAGUGAACGACAAGUUUAGUCUGCAGCCAGACAGCUUCAGUGAGGGCCAGUUCACCAUCACAGAUAUGUCAGGAACAGAGGUGGAUGGAGAUAUCUUUGAUGAGCUUGUCAAGUCGGGUGUCCUGACCUUCAAGGUCCCUUUACCAGUAAUGGGUAAGGAUGUGAAGGCUGGGGUUUGAUGAGGUAUCACAGACAACGUCAAGUAGAAAGCACAGUGUUUUGUCGGAAAUAUAUUUUUGAGAGACCUCAACCUAUGCUAUAAUUUGAUAUACUACUGAUCAUUGUCUUAAAUACAUAUGAUCUAUCAC
ensembl:lncRNA